rnacentral:rRNA from 1 species
GACAGAGGCCUCAAGCGUUAGGCGGAAUCACUGGGCUUAAAGCGUGUGUAGGCGGAUCGUUAAGUACCUUGUGAAAUCCCACGGCUCACCCGUGGAACUGCUGGGUAUACUGGCGAUCUUGGGCCAACUAGGGGCAGCUGGAACAAGCGGUGGAGCGGUGAAAUGCGCAGAUAUCAGGAGGAACACCGAUGGCGAAGGCAGGUCUCUGGGCCACUACUGGACGCUGAGAAGCGAAAGCAUGGGGAGCGAACAGG